CAGUGAUAAAGGCAAACCUAUUGAAAGGUAGGGACGCAAAGCUACAGGCCUAAGGAUUUUCUACGGCAGCUGGGUUACCAAU
rnacentral:ncRNA from 1 species